GUGGACGUUCGGCCAAGGGACCAAGGUGGAAAUCAAACGAAGCAGUUUUGCAUCAGUAGCUGCAUCUCCUCCAUGAUUCUAGCUGCCACCAAGUGCCCAUCCUCUGCCCUCUCCCAAUGCCACUUUCUGCAGCCCUGAUGGUGGAGUGGCUUCCUGCUGUGACUCAUCUCUGGGCUGCUUCCAUGAUGAUUGGGUCUCUGCUGUUCAUCACCUGUGAAGCAUUUCCCACAAUAAAUUCCCUUUGUUUAAAAUG
rnacentral:lncRNA from 1 species